rnacentral:rRNA from 1 species
AGUGAACGCUGGCGGUAGGCCUAACACAUGCAAGUCGAACGGCAGCACAGGAGAGCUUGCUCUCUGGGUGGCGAGUGGCGGACGGGUGAGGAAUACAUCGGAAUCUACUUUUUCGUGGGGGAUAACGUAGGGAAACUUACGCUAAUACCGCAUACGACCUACGGGUGAAAGCAGGGGACCUUCGGGCCUUGCGCGAUUGAAUGAGCCGAUGUCGGAUUAGCUAGUUGGCGGGGUAAAGGCCCACCAAGGCGACGAUCCGUAGCUGGUCUGCGAGGAUGAUCAGCCACACUGGAACUGAGACACGGUCCAGACUCCUACGGGGGGCAGCAGUGAGUAAUAUUAGCCAAUGGGCGCAAGCCUGAUCCAGGCAUACCGCGUGGGUGAAGAAGGCGUUCGGGUUGUAAAGCCCUUUUGUUGGGAAAGAAAUCCAGCUGGCUAACACCCGGUUGGGAUGACGGUACCCAAAGAAUAAGCACCGGCUAACUUCGUGCCAGCCGCCGCAGUAA